rnacentral:rRNA from 1 species
CUGCUUUGAUGAGAUCUUCGGAUGGAUUUAAAACAGCUUAGUGGCGGACGGGUGAGUAACGCGUGGGUAACCUGCCUCACACUGGGGGAUAACAGUUAGAAAUAGCUGCUAAUACCGCAUAAGACCACGGAGCCGCAUGGCUCCGUGGGAAAAACUCCGGUGGUAUGAGAUGGACCCGCGUCUGAUUAGGUAGUUGGCGGGGUAACGGCCCACCAAACCGACGAUCAGUAGCCGGCCUGAGAGGGCGACCGGCCACAUUGGGACUGAGACACGGCCCAAACUCC